CUGGCCCUACGGGGCGCAGCAGUGGGGGAUAUUGCACAAUGGGGGGAACCCUGAUGCAGCGACGCCGCGUGGGUGAAGAAGCGCCUCGGCGCGUAAAGCCCUGUCAGCAGGGAAGAAAAUGACGGUACCUGAAGAAGAAGCCCCGGCUAACUACGUGCCAGCAGCCGCGGUAAUACGUAGGGGGCAGGCGUUAUCCGGAUUUACUGGGUGUAAAGGGGGCGCAGACGGCGAUGCAAGCCAGGAGUGAAAGCCCGGGGCCCAACCCCGGGACUCCUCUCGGAACUGCGUGGCUGGAGCGCAGGACG
rnacentral:rRNA from 1 species